rnacentral:rRNA from 1 species
AGUAACACGUGGGCAAUCUGCCCCUGAUUCUGGGAUAACUACUCGAAAGAGUGGCUAAUACCGGAUACUCACGCUGGGAGGCAUCUUCCGGCGUGGAAAGCUCCGGCGAUCAGGGAUGAGCCCGCGGCCUAUCAGCUAGUUGGUGGGGUAGUGGCCCACCAAGGCGACGACGGGUAGCCGGCCUGAGAGGGCGACCGGCCACACUGGGACUGAGACACGGCCCAGACUCCUACGGGAGGCAGCAGUGGGGAAUAUUGCUCAAUGGGGGCAAGCCUGAAGCAGCAACGCCGCGUGAGGGAUGAAGGUCUUCGGAUUGUAAACCUCUUUCAGCAGGGACGAAGCGAAAGUGACGGUACCUGCAAAAGAAGCACCGGCUAACUACGUGCCAGCAGCCGCGGUGAUACGUAGGGUGCAAGCGUUGUCCGGAUUUAUUGGGCGUAAAGAGCUCGUAGGCGGUUCAUCACGUCGAAUGUGAAAACUCGGGGCUUAACCCCGAGCCUGCAUUCGAUACGGGUGGACUCGAGUGUGGUAGGGGAGACUGGAAUUCCUGGUGUAGCGGUGGAAUGCGCAGAUAUCAGGAGGAACACCGGUGGCGGAGGCGGGUCUCUGGGCCAUUACUGACGCUGAGGAGCGAAAGCGUGGGGAGCGAACAGGGAUUAGAUACCCUGGUAGUCCACGCUGUAAACGGUGGGCGCUAGUUGUGG